GUACAGAGGGAUGCUACCGGGCGACCGGAUGCGGAUCUCGAAAGCCUGUCCCAGUUCGGACUGGAGUCUGCAACCCGACUCCACGAAGUUGGAUUCGCUAGUAAUCGCGCAUCAGCCAUGGCGCGGUGAAUACGUUCCCGGGCCUUGUACACACCGCCCGUCAAGCCAUGGGAGCCGGGGGCGCCUGAAGUCCGGGACCGCGAGGACCGGCCUAGGGCGAAACUGGUAACUGGGGCUAAGUCGUAACAAGGUAUC
rnacentral:rRNA from 1 species